UACGAACUGUGCGAACGUUAUUCGGAAUCACUGGGCGUAAAGGGUGCGUAGGCGGGUCUUUAAGUCAGGGGUGAAAUCCUGGAGCUCAACUCCAGAACUGCCUUUGAUACUGAGGAUCUUGAGUUCGGGAGAGGUGAGUGGAACUGCGAGUGUAGAGGUGAAAUUCGUAGAUAUUCGCAAGAACACCAGUGGCGAAGGCGGCUCACUGGCCCGGUACUGACGCUGAGGUGCGAAAGCGUGGGGAGCAAACAGGG
rnacentral:rRNA from 1 species